rnacentral:rRNA from 1 species
AUGGCGGAAGCCGCGAAUAGCUCAUUACAACAGCCGUCGUUUCUUAGAUCUCCGAUUUACUUGGAUAACUGUGGUAAUUCUAGAGCUAAUACACGCAUUCGAGCUCCGCCCGCAAGGAACGAGCGCAUUUAUUAGAACUAAAACCCAUCUGCACUUGUGCAGCACGGUUGGUGACUCUGAAUAACUCAGCUGAUCGCUUCGGUCUCGUACCGGCGACAUGUCUUUCAAGUGUCUGCCUUAUCAACUUUCGAUGGUAGUUUAUGUGACUACCAUGGUUGUAACGGGUAACGGAGAAUCAGGGUUCGACUCCGGAGAGGGAGCCUGAGAAACGGCUACCACUUCUAAGGAAGGCAGCAGGCGCGCAAAUUACCCACUCUCAGUACGAGGAGGUAGUGACGAAAAAUAACGAGACGGGACUCUAUCGAGUACCGUCAUCGGAAUGAGAACAAUCUAAACCCUUUAACGAGGACCUAGCGGAGGGCAAGUCUGGUGCCAGCAGCCGCGGUAAUUCCAGCUCCGUAAGUGUAUAUCUAUGCUGCUGCGGUUAAAAAGCUCGUAGUUGGAUCUGCGUGCAUGGGGAUGGUCCGGCCUUCGGUCGUGAACUGUCUACCUGCACUAAAUAGCUAGUUCACUCUUGGUGCCCUUCAUCGGGUGUCUUGAGCGUCUAGCAAAUUUACUUUGAAAAAAUUAGAGUGCUUAAAACAAGCGUUUUGCUUGAAUACUGGUGCAUGGAAUAAUAGAAUAGGACCUUGGUUCUAUUUUGUUGGUUUUCGGGACACGAGGUAAUGAUUAAGAGGGACAGCCGGGGGCAUUCGUAUUGCGACGCUAGAGGUGAAAUUCUUGGAUCGUCGCAAGACGAACUACUGCGAAAGCAUUUGUCAAGAGUGUUUUCAUUAAUCAAGAACGAAAGUUAGAGGUUCGAAGACGAUCAGAUACCGUCCUAGUUCUAACCGUAAACGAUGCCAACUAGCGAUCCGUUGACGUCACCUUUAGACCCAACGGGGAGCUUCCCGGAAACGAAAGUCUUCGGGUUCCGGGGGAAGUAUGGUUGCAAAGCUGAAACUUAAAGGAAUUGACGGAAGGGCACCACCAGGAGUGGAGCCUGCGGCUUAAUUUGACUCAACACGGGAAAACUCACCCGGCCCGGACACCGUAAGGAUUGACAGAUUGAGAGCUCUUUCUUGAUUCGGUGGGUGGUGGUGCAUGGCCGUUCUUAGUUGGUGGAGCGAUUUGUCUGGUUUAUUCCGAUAACGAACGAGACUCCAACCUAUUAAAUAGUGGAUCAAUCACUAGUUGAUAUCACUUCUUAGAGGGACGGGCGGUUUUCAGCCGCAUGAGAAGGAGCAAUAACAGGUCUGUGAUGCCCUUAGAUGUCCGGGGCUGCACGCGCGCUACACUGAAGGAAUCAGCGUGCUAGAAAACCUUGUUUGACAUGGCUAGGUAACCCCUUGAAAAUCCUUCGUGAUUGGGAUUGUGAUUUGCAAAUGUAUCACAUGAACGAGGAAUUCCCAGUAAGUGCGGGUCAUAAGCUCGCGCUGAUUACGUCCCUGCCCUUUGUACACACCGCCCGUCGCUGCCCGGAACUGAACCACUUCGAGAAGACUGGGGACUGAGAUCUUAAGGUCUUAACGGACUUUUUGAUUUUGGAAACCAAUCUAAUCGCAGUGGUUUGGAAACCCGGGGCCA